AAUGAAAUUGGUAAUUUCUUCAAGUUUCUGGUGGGGUUGGUGGGGUAAUCAACAGAAAGGUUUCUAAAAACUCUGCCCUUUUAAUAAAUAUGAAGGAGAGAGAAAAUGUGUGUGUGUGUGUGUGACUUGUGAAUUUCAGGUUUACCAAGUUUGUGGAAAGGUUGACAAAAUC